UACGGGGGGGGCAAGCGUUGUUCGGAAUUACUGGGCGUAAAGGGCUCGUAGGCGGCCAACUAAGUCAGACGUGAAAUCCCUCGGCUUAACCGGGGGAACUGCGUCUGAUACUGGAUGGCUGGAGAUUGGGAGAGGGAUGCGGAAUUCCAGGUGUAGCGGUGAAAUGCGUAGAUAUCUGGAGGAACACCGGUGGCGAAGGCGGCAUCCUGGACCAACACUGACGCUGAGGAGCGAAAGCCAGGGGAGCAAACGGG
rnacentral:rRNA from 1 species